rnacentral:rRNA from 1 species
GAAUCUUCCGCAAUGGACGAAAGUCUGACGGAGCAACGCCGCGUGAGUGAUGAAGGUUUUCGGAUCGUAAAGCUUUGUUGCCAGGGAAGAACGCUUGGGAUAGUAACUGCUCCCAAUGUUACGGUACCUGAAAAGAACGCCCCGGCUACCUACGUCCCAGCAGCCGCGGUAAUACGUAGGGGGCAAGCGUUGUCCGGAAUUAUUGGGCGUAAAGCGGGCGCAGGCGGCCUUGUAAGUCUGUUGUGUAAACUUGGGGCUCAACCCCAAGGCGCAAUGGAAACUGCAAAGCUUGAGUACAGAAGAGGAAAGUGGAAUUCGACGUGUAGCGGUGAAAUGCGUAGAGAUGUGGAGGGACACCAGUGGCGAGGGCGACUUUCUGGGCUGUAACUGACGCUGAGGCGCGAAAGCGUGGGGAGCAAACA